CUUCGGGGGNCCCUGGUGAUUCAUGAUAAUUCUCGAAUCGCAUGGCCUUNGCCCGGCGAUGGUUCAUUCAAAUUUUUGCCCUAUCAACUUUGGACGGCUGGGUUUUGGCCAGCCAUGGUGACAACGGGUAACGGAGGGUUAGGGCUCGACCCCGGAGAAGGAGCCUGAGAAACGGCUACUACAUCCAAGGAAGGCAGCAGGCGCGCAAAUUACCCAAUCCCGACUCGGGGAGGUAGUGACAAAAAAUACUGAUACAGGGCUCUUUUGGGCCUUGUAAUUGGAAUGAGUACAAUUUAAAUCCCUUAACGAGGAACAAUUGGAGGGCAAGUCUGGUGCCAGCAGCCGCGGUAAUUCCAGCUCCAAUAGCGUAUAUUAAAUUUGCUGAGGUUGAAAAGCUCGUAGUUGAACCUUGGGCCUGGCUGGCCGGUCCGCCUCACCGCGUGCACUGGUCCGGCCGGGCCUUUCCCUCUGGGGAACCGCAUGCCCUUCACUGGGCGUGUCGGGGAACCAGGACUUUUACUGUGAAAAAAUUAGAGUGUUCAAAGCAGGCCUAUGCUCGAAUACAUUAGCAUGGAAUAAUAGAAUAGGACGUGCGGUUCUAUUUUGUUGGUUUCUAGGACCGCCGUAAUGAUUAAUAGGGACAGUCGGGGGCAUCAGUAUUCAAUUGUCAGAGGUGAAAUUCUUGGAUUUAUUGAAGACUAACUACUGCGAAAGCAUUUGCCAAGGAUGUUUUCAUUAAUCAGGAACGAAAGUUAGGGGAUCGAAGACGAUUAACCGGUGGCGAGAGCCGCGUAUCUGGUCGUCGAAAGUGCAGCGAGGCUACGGCCCCUGUGCUAGUCUGCCUCACGGCAGGCGACACCGUCAAAUUGCGGGGACCUCCUAAAGACGCUCGACACACCUGCAGGCCUGAAAAGGACACCUGCAGUCGUAAAAGCUCGAGCGUAUGACGGGCCUAGGCCCUGAAAUGGACAAUCCGCAGCCAAGCCCUAAAGCCUCAACGGUCCAAGGGUGCAGUUCACAGACUAGAUGUCGGUGGGGGGCCUCGCAGCCUCAUAAGAUAUAGUCGAUUCCGCGGCGAAAGUCGCGGGCUGGUAAUGCAGAUACCGUCGUAGUCUUAACCAUAAACUAUGCCGACUAGGGAUCGGACGGUGUUAUUUUUUGACCCGUUCGGCACCUUACACGAA
rnacentral:rRNA from 1 species